rnacentral:lncRNA from 1 species
AAAAAAAACGGGUACCCGAAAUCCGAGUACAUGUAUCCGACCCAAAUAUCUAGGUAUUUAUCGGAUAGUGCUCGCUCCGUAUCCAACCUGAAUCCGAAGUUUCACUGUCCGGGUACUACAUGUAUCUGUCUCGGAUAUAAAAAUACCCGAAUCCAUAUAAAAAAACAGAUAUUUGAACUAUCCGUAUCUGUUACCUGACAGGCUCGACCCGUUUUCACCCCUACCUACAGUUUAGUUCUCAGCAGCAUCUGCCACAGAAAUACAAAUUCUCAGUUCCAAUCUGAGAAUGCAGGCAGGGGAUGCAACAUCUCUUCUUAGGUGCUAGCACUUGUGACACGGCGUUCAAAUCUUCAGCUUCUAUGGAAAGAGGCCCGUCUUCCCCUCCAGUUUCUGUAACACAAACUGAACUAUCAGCUUCAACUGAAGUGCCUGUUCCACUCUCCUAGCGACGUUUAAGCAGCCAGGAUAGCUCCAGUGGCUGGUCAUCUCUUAAAUGGAUAGCGAAAAUUGAACAUAUGAAAUCCCUGUAUUUCUCCAAGAAGAAAAUUACUACUAGUAUGGUAUGCAGGAUAGAUACUAGGAGAGGCAAUCAGACAAACCUUGAACCCGUCUCCU